rnacentral:rRNA from 1 species
AUAUUGCGCAAUGGGGGAAACCCUGACGCAGCAACGCCGCGUGAGUGAGGAAGGUCUUCGGAUUGUAAAACUCUUUUAUUUGGGAAAAAUUGUCUAGUGGCUAAUAUCCAUUAGAUUUGAUGGUACCAAAGGAAUAAGGACCGGCUAACUUCGUGCCAGCAGCCGCGGUAAUACGAAGGGUCCAAGCGUUGUUCGGAUUUACUGGGCGUAAAGCGCGCGCAGGUGGGCGUGCAAGUCGGAAGUGAAAUCCUGGGGCUCAACCCUGGGGCUGCUUCCGAAACUGCAGGUCUAGGGACUGGUAGAGGCUGGUAGAAUUCCCGGUGUAGCGGUGGAAUGCGUAGAGAUCGGGAAGAAUACCCGUGGCGAAGGCGGCCAGCUGGGCCAGGUCCGACACUGAGGCGCGAAAGCGUGGGGAGCAAACAGG